UUAAGCGUGUAGGUGUGUGUUCCAGGUAAAUCCGGUUCACUUUAACACUGAGGCGUGACGACGAGGCACUACGGUGCUGAAGCAACAAAUGCCCUGCUUCCAGGAAAAGCCUCUAAGCAUCAGGUAACAUCAAAUCGUACCCCAAACCGACACAGGUGGUCAGGUAGAGAAUACCAAGGCGCUUGAGAGAACUCGGGUGAAGGAACUAGGCAAAAUGGUGCCGUAACUUCGGGAGAAGGCACGCUGACACGUAGGUGAAGUGAUUUACUCAUGGAGCUGAAGUCAGUCGAAGAUACCAGCUGGCUGCAACUGUUUAUUAAAAACACAGCACUGUGCAAACACGAAAGUGGACGUAUACGGUGUGACGCCUGCCCGGUGCCGGAAGGUUAAUUGAUGGGGUCAGCGCAAGCGAAGCUCCUGAUCGAAGCCCCGGUAAACGGCGGCCGUAACUAUAACGGUCCUAAGGUAGCGAAAUUCCUUGUCGGGUAAGUUCCGACCUGCACGAAUGGCGUAAUGAUGGCCAGGCUGUCUCCACCCGAGACUCAGUGAAAUUGAACUCGCUGUGAAGAUGCAGUGUACCCGCGGCAAGACGGAAAGACCCCGUGAACCUUUACUAUAGCUUGACACUGAACAUUGAGCCUUGAUGUGUAGGAUAGGUGGGAGGCUUUGAAGUGUGGACGCCAGUCUGCAUGGAGCCGACCUUGAAAUACCACCCUUUAAUGUUUGAUGUUCUAACGUGGACCCGUUACCCGGGUUGCGGACAGUGUCUGGUGGGUAGUUUGACUGGGGCGGUCUCCUCCUAAAGAGUAACGGAGGAGCACGAAGGUUGGCUAAUCCUGGUCGGACAUCAGGAGGUUAGUGCAAUGGCAUAAGCCAGCUUGACUGCGAGCGUGACGGCGCGAGCAGGUGCGAAAGCAGGUCAUAGUGAUCCGGUGGUUCUGAAUGGAAGGGCCAUCGCUCAACGGAUAAAAGGUACUCCGGGGAUAACAGGCUGAUACCGCCCAAGAGUUCAUAUCGACGGCGGUGUUUGGCACCUCGAUGUCGGCUCAUCACAUCCUGGGGCUGAAGUAGGUCCCAAGGGUAUGGCUGUUCGCCAUUUAAAGUGGUACGCGAGCUGGGUUUAGAACGUCGUGAGACAGUUCGGUCCCUAUCUGCCGUGGGCGCUGGAGAACUGAGGGGGGCUGCUCCUAGUACGAGAGGACCGGAGUGGACGCAUCACUGGUGUUCGGGUUGUCAUGCCAAUGGCACUGCCCGGUAGCUAAAUGCGGAAGAGAUAAGUGCUGAAAGCAUCUAAGCACGAAACUUGCCCCGA
rnacentral:rRNA from 3 species